rnacentral:rRNA from 1 species
GACGAACGCUGGCGGCGUGCUUAACACAUGCAAGUCGAACGGAAAGGCCCUGCUUUUGUGGGGUGCUCGAGUGGCGAACGGGUGAGUAACACGUGAGUAACCUGCCCUUGACUUUGGGAUAACUUCAGGAAACUGGGGCUAAUACCGGAUAGGAGCUCCUGCUGCAUGGUGGGGGUUGGAAAGUUUCGGCGGUUGGGGAUGGACUCGCGGCUUAUCAGCUUGUUGGUGGGGUAGUGGCUUACCAAGGCUUUGACGGGUAGCCGGCCUGAGAGGGUGACCGGCCAACUUGGGACUGAGAUACGGGCCAGACUCCUACGGGAGGCAGGAGGGGGGAAUAUUGCCCAAUGGGGCGAAGCCUGGUGCAGCAACGCCGGGUGCGGGAUGGCGGCCUUCGGGUUGGAAACCGCUUUCGCCUGUGACGAAGCGUGAGUGACGGUAAUGGGUAAAGAAGCACCGGCUAACUACGUG